AAAUUCUGCCCUAUGAAUAUUUAAAUGGCUGCAGUAUUUUGACUGUACAAAGGUAGCAUAAUAAUUAGUUUUUUAAUUGGGGACUGGUAUGAAUGAAUAAAUGAGAAAUAAAUUUUAUUUAUUUAAUUUUUAAAAUUUUAUUUUUUAGUAAAAAAUCUAAAUUAAUUUUUUGGGACGAAAAGACCCUAUAGAACCUGAAUUCUUAUUAAAUUUUUAUUAAGUUUUUAUUUAAUUUUAAUAAUUUUAUUUUAUUGGGGUGAUAGUUAAAUUUAAAUCUUUAAUUUUUUUAUUCACUUAUUAUUGAUUAUUAAAGUUUUUAUUUUAAAAGAAAAGGUUACCUUAGGGAUAACAGCGUAAUUUAAAUGGAGAGUUCAUAUCUAUAUUUAAGUUUGCGACCUCGAUGUUGAAUUAAGGUUAGAUUAGGGGGUAGAUUUUCUUUUUCUGAGUC
rnacentral:rRNA from 1 species